CGGGGUGCAGCAGGCGCGAAAACUUUACAAUGCUGGCAACAGCGAUAAGGGGACCUCGAGUGCCAGGAUACAAUCUUGGCUGUCGCGAUGCCUAAAAAGCAUUGCAUAGCAAGGGCCGGGCAAGACCGGUGCCAGCCGCCGCGGUAACACCGGCGGCUCGAGUGGUAACCGCUAUUAUUGGGUCUAAAGGGUCUGUAGCCGGCCGGAUAAGUCUUUUGGGAAAUCCAGCUGCUCAACAGUUGGGCUUUCAGAAGAUACUGUUCGGCUCGAGACCGGGAGAGGUGAGAGGUACUUCAGGGGUAGGGGUGAAAUCUUGUAAUCCUUGAAGGACCACCAGUGGCGAAGGCGUCUCACCAGAACGGAUCUGACGGCAAGGGACGAAAGCUAGGGGCACGAACCGGAUUAGAUACCCGGGUAGUCCUAGCCGUAAACGAUACUCGCUAGGUGUCAGCCACGGUGCGACCGUGGUUGGUGCCGUAGGGAAGCCGUGAAGCGAGCCACCUGGGAAGUACGGCCGCAAGGCUGAAACUUAAAGGAAUUGGCGGGGGAGCACAA
rnacentral:rRNA from 1 species